AUGUCAGCGGGCGGACGGGUGAGUAACACGUGGGUAACCUGCCUGUAAGACUGGGAUAACUCCGGGAAACCGGGGCUAAUACCGGAUGCUUGAUUGAACCGCAUGGUUCAAUUAUAAAAGGUGGCUUUUACCUACCACUUACAAAUGGACCCCCGCCCCAUUACCUAUUUGGUAAGGAAACGCCCCACCAAGGCAACAAUCCUUACCCAACCUGAAAGGGUGAUCGCCCACACUGGAACUAAAACACGGCCCAAACUCCUACGGAAGGCACCAUUAGGAAAUCUUCCCCAAUGAACAAAAUUCUAACGAACCACCCCCCCUUGAUUGAUAAAGGUUUUCGAAUCUAAAACCUCUUUUGUUAGGAAAAAACAAUUCCCUUUCAAAUAGGGCGGUACCUUGACGGUCCCUACCCAAAAACCCACGCCUAAUUACUUGCCACCACCCGCGUUAAUACUUAGGUGGCAACCGUUGUCCGAAAUUAUUGGCCUUAAAGCCCGCGCAGGCGGUUUCUAAGUUCUAAUGUGAACUUGAGUGCAGAAGAGGAGAGUGGAAUUCCACGUGUAGCGGUGAAAUGCGUAGAGAUGUGGAGGAACACCAGUGGCGAAGGCGACUCUCUGGUCUGUAACUGACGCUGAGGCGCGAAAGCGUGGGGAGCGAACAGGAUUAGAUACCCUGGUAGUCCACGCCGUAAACGAUGAGUGCUAAGUGUUAGAGGGUUUCCGCCCUUUAGUGCUGCAGCAAACGCAUUAAGCACUCCGCCUGGGGAGUACGGUCGCAAGACUGAAAUUCAAAGGAAUUGACGGGGGCCCGCACAAGCGGUGGAGCAUGUGGUUUAAUUCGAAGCAACGCGAAGAACCUUACCAGGUCUUGACAUCCUCUGACAACCCUAGAGAUAGGGCUUCCCCUUCGGGGGCAGAGUGACAGGUGGUGCAUGGUUGUCGUCAGCUCGUGUCGUGAGAUGUUGGGUUAAGUCCCGCAACGAGCGCAACCCUUGAUCUUAGUUGCCAGCAUUCAGUUGGGCACUCUAAGGUGACUGCCGGUGACAAACCGGAGGAAGGUGGGGAUGACGUCAAAUCAUCAUGCCCCUUAUGACCUGGGCUACACACGUGCUACAAUGGGCAGAACAAAGGGCAGCGAAGCCGCGAGGCUAAGCCAAUCCCACAAAUCUGUUCUCAGUUCGGAUCGCAGUCUGCAACUUGACUGCGUGAAGCUGGAAUCGCUAGUAAUCGCGGAUCAGCAUGCCGCGGUGAAUACGUUCCCGGGCCUUGUACACACCGCCCGUCACACCACGAGA
rnacentral:rRNA from 1 species